GGUGGAGCCCGGCUCCCGUAGGAGUCCGGGCAGAGCCGCACUUGCUGAUGUCGUCGGUGGAGCCCGGCUCCCGUAGGAGUCCGGGUGGAGCUGCGCUGCAAACAAGUCAAGGGUGAAGUCCGGCUCUCGUAAGAGUCCGGACUGAGCUUACCAGCAAUUGAUAUUGAGAGCGGAGCCCGGCUCCCGUAGGAGUCCGGACGGAGCUGUUUUGAUGUCGGCGGUGGAGCCCGGCUCCCGUAGGAGUUCGGGCGGAGCAGCGCUUGCUGAUGUCGUCGGAGCCCGGCUCCCGUAGGAGUCCGGGCGGAGCUGCACUUGCUGAUGGCGGUUCCGCCGUGGGUUCCGGCUGUGGGUAUUUUAUACCCAACA
rnacentral:lncRNA from 1 species